CCCUAAGCCAGCUCAGACUCGCCGCGGUGUCCGACUCACUUCCCGGUCUCCAGGGCGAGC
rnacentral:ribozyme from 1 species